rnacentral:misc_RNA from 1 species
GGAUGAAGAAACGUAGCGAAAUGCGAUAAGUAAUGUGAAUUGCAGAAUUCAGUGAAUCAUCGAAUCUUUGAACGCACAUUGCGCCCUAUGGUAUUCCGUAGGGCAUGCCUGUUCGAGCGUCAUUACACACCUCAAGCUCUGCUUGGUAUUGGGCGUCGUCCCCUAAACGGGACGUGCCUCAAAGACCUCGGCGGUGGCGUCUUUGCCUCAAGCGUAGUAAUCUUUUUAUCUCGCUUUGGAGUCGAAGGCGUCGCCCGCCGGACGAAACCUUUAUUUUUCUAUCAAGGUUGACCUCGGAUCAGGUAGGGAUACCCGCUGAACUUAAGCAUAUCAAUAAGCGGAGGA